rnacentral:tRNA from 2 species
GGGCCCAUAGCUCAGUUGGUUAGAGCGGAUGACUCAUAAUCAUUAGGUCGCUGGUUCAAGCCCAGCUGGGCCCACCA